rnacentral:sRNA from 1 species
GGCCUCACAACUCACAAGCUGUUCAAAAUUCGAUAAAGGUUUAUUAUAUAAUAAUCUACCUGGUAUGUAUAAACAGUUGUUAAAGAUCUUCUCGAGAACUGCAACACACAAUAUGUGAUAAACUGUAAACUUAUCCUGUUACGUGUACAAAGGGACUCAAUGAUAAACUUAAGAAUAUGCAGGGAAAUUUUUUAUGCUCUCUUCGAAGAAGGGGGGCAUAUUGAUUUGCUGCUGUCUGUCGGUAUGUUGGUCGGUCCACCAACGGUUUCCGUUCAUUUUCUUCGCAGAAGAUAAACAUGCUGAAACAGAAUUUGGUAUGCAGGUUAAUCAAGAUAGUAUCUAGGUCAAGUUCGAUCAUGGGUACGAUCGAGCUGUUUUCGACAGAGUUAUGCCCCUUGGAAGUACAAAUUCCAAUUAUUUGCAGUUUCCGUUCAUUCUCCUCACAGAGGAUGCACAUAUUGACAUGAAAUUUGGUAUACAGGUCAAUCAAGAUAAUAUCUAGGUCAAGAUUAAUUUUGGGUACGAUCGAGCAAUUUUAUACAGAGUUAUGCCCCUUUGACGUAGAAAAAUUCCAUCCAAUUAUUUGCAGUUUCCGUUCAUUUUCUUCGGAAAUGUUUCAAUUAAAAGGAGGGGGCAUGAGUGUUUUACAAACACCUCUUGUUUUUAUACAGGAUUUAUUAUAUGACAUUUAGAGACAAAAUGUAUUUUGUAUAUGACUCUAUAAAGCUGAUUUUAUU